rnacentral:rRNA from 1 species
GAUGAACGCUGACAGAAUGCUUAACACAUGCAAGUCAACUUGAACUUCGGUUUGGGUGGCGGACGGGUGAGUAACGCGUAAAGAACUUGCCUCACAGCUAGGGACAACAUUUGGAAACGAAUGCUAAUACCUGAUAUUAUGAUUAUAUGGCAUCGUAUAAUUAUGAAAGCUAUAUGCGCUGUGAGAGAGCUUUGCGUCCCAUUAGCUAGUUGGAGAGGUAACAGCUCACCAAGGCGAUGAUGGGUAGCCGGCCUGAGAGGGUGAUCGGCCACAAGGGGACUGAGGCACGGCCCUUACUCCUACGGGAGGCAGCAGUGGGGAAUAUUGGACAAUGGACCGAGAGUCUGAUCCAGUAAUUCUGUGUGCACGAUGAAGUUUUUCGGAAUGUAAAGUGCUUUCAGUUGGGAAGAAAAAAAUGACGGUACCAACAGAAGAAGUGACGGCUAAAUACGUG